AUGCGAAUCAGAUGGAGGCUGCCUGUAGCCAGGGGCGCGCCCCGGUGGAGAGAUGCACAAGGAAGCCUAAGGACGUUUCCGAAACGCCCUGUGUCAGCUGGGAUGACUGAUGCGCGGUGCAUAGCACUUCUCAGGAAGUCUUCAAAUAUGAGAUUCCUCACAGCUGGUUUCUACAACUUCCUGCUGCCACCAUCUGGGAGACAUAAAGAUGAGAGUGCGGUCCCCAGAAGUCCCGGCCCACACUGCUGCCUGUCCUGCUCCUCCCCUCUCCGCAGCUGCCCCCACCUCACGUCCCACAGUUGCACCCCAAGCAAGGACCAUUUAACUCAAUAAAAACUCAC
rnacentral:lncRNA from 1 species